CAAAAGAUUUGGGAAUUCAAUGACUGCGAAAAUGUUGUGACAGUUUACCACUCAGGCUCACAUGCUUGUGAAGCAAAACAACCGAUUUAUUUCAACGAUGAAGGUUUAAAAAGGAAAUUUACGGAGAAUAUAAAGACAACUCCAAGGCAGGCUGCAGAUGACAUAAUUGUUGAAGCAUUAUAUGACAAAGACAUGACUUGGGAUGAUGUACAUAAAGUAGUGGACUCAGUAAUAGAAGAAGGCAAGGUUAAGUACUGCAAACAAAAAACGCAAAACGAAGCCAAUCCAUUCGGGCAUAGUUUUGAAGCAGUGGGUGAACUGAGAAGCCGUUUAAUAGAAAAGGAUCCUUAUCUUCUUUAUAAAAUUAAUAACCGUAACAUGAACGGAGAACCUUCAUACGUGUUCAAAAUGAGCAAAAUUCAAGCAAAGCUAGCAGUCGCAAUGGAUUGCGACGGAAACGACUUUUUAGCAAGUGAAUACUGCUAUUUCGACGGAACAUUUAAACGUUGUCCUGGGUUUGUGACUCUUGAUGCACAUGUAUAUUUAGAACUUUUACGGAAAGUAGUUAAAAUUGCUACGAUGGAAUGUGAAACUGAGAGUACAGAAACAAUGGUGAUUUUCUGGACAUUAUUAAAUGAAGUUUUGGAGAACUUUUCUGGUAAACAAGGCUACAAGUUCAAUCCGAUUGGUUGGGCUGUUGACGAGCAUGGGGGAAAUUGGGCAUCUAUCCGGACAGUAU